UACAGAGGUCUCAAGCGUUGUUCGGAUUCAUUGGGCGUAAAGGGUGCGUAGGCGGCGCGGUAAGUCGGAUGUGAAAUCUCGGAGCUUAACUCCGAAACUGCAUUCGAUACUGCCGUGCUUGAGGACUGGAGAGGAGACUGGAAUUUACGGUGUAGCGGUGAAAUGCGUAGAUAUCGUAAGGAAGACCAGUGGCGAAGGCGACUCACUGGCCCGAUACUGACGCUGAGGCGCGAAAGCGUGGGGAGCAAACAGG
rnacentral:rRNA from 1 species